AUUGAACGCUGGCGGCAGGCCUAACACAUGCAAGUCGAACGGCAGCACAGAAGAGCUUGCUCUUUGGGUGGCGAGUGGCGGACGGGUGAGUAAUGUCUGGGAAACUGCCCGAUGGAGGGGGAUAACUACUGGAAACGGUAGAUAAUACCGCAUAACGUCGCGAGACCAAAGUGGGGGACCUUCGGGCCUCACACCAUCGGAUGUGCCCAGAUGGGGUUAGCUAGUAGGUGGGGUAAUGGCUCACCUAGGCGACGAUCCCUAGCUGGUCUGAGAGGAUGACCAGCCACACCGGAACUGAGACACGGUCCAGACUCCUACGGGAGGCAGCAGUGGGGAAUAUUGCACAAUGGGCGCAAGCCUGAUGCAGCCAUGCCGCGUGUAUGGAGAAGGCCUUCGGGUUGUAAAGUACUUUCAGCGGGGAGGAAGGCGGUGAGGUUAAUAACCUUGCCGAUUGACGUUACCCGCAGAAGAAGCACCGGCUAACUCCGUGCCAGCCGCCGCGGUAA
rnacentral:rRNA from 1 species